GGUCUUUUUGUGUUUUUCUACCCACCUUUAUCUCCGUGACGGUGAGAUAUCGUGAUGUUCUUAUUGGGCUAGUGUAGCUCACUCCUUAAUUAACCAUUUCAGAUCAGGAAGACAGGGUUCCUGGGCCCGUUCCGCAGGAGGACGACGAAGGGGAUGCCUAGAGACUCUGUAGUCAUACGCAUAGUUUAUUUUCGAGUUUUCUUUCUUAGUUAGUUUAACCUUUUAUAUUUUAAGUACGUUUUUGGUUUUUCGUGUAAGGGAUGUUAACUGAAAUUUUGAUCUCGUUUCCGCAUUCGAUAUAUUUAAAUACUCAUUUCAUUUUAAUAUUUUCCGGGGCUGUUACAGUUGGUAUCAGAGCCGCAUUUCCUCGGACCCAUCCCUUACACUAUAGUCCUUUAAAGAAAUACUCACCGAUGGGUCGUUACUCAACCAUUCCUUGUAAAUGCAGGUACACAGAAAUGAGGAGAGGAAGGCCCCCACUAAACCGAGCGGCCCAAGAUAAUUCGCUUCGGGAGGAUUUGGACAGAUUAUAUGAGAUGGUGGAAGCUCUCGUAGCUGCCCAGCGAAGGCAAGAGGAGAGAAGGGAGUUACCCGAACCUCCUCCGCUAGCGCAGGUUGAGCCCCCGUUACAGCAGGCUGAUCCCGAGCCACCCCGGCAGGAGCCUGUUCCUCCACAGUACCACCCGGCACCACAGCCGCGGUACGACCCGGUACCACAGCCACAGUACCAACAGGUACCGCCACAGCAUAUUCCAGUGCCCCCACCCCAUCAGCAGGCGCCACCACAGGGUCCCCCAGUUCACCCUCAGCCGGCCCCAGUUCCUUUACCUCGGGACCCCGCUCCCUCCUUGAUCGACCCUGGCUUCAUAGAGAGGUACAGGAGACUGAACCCUUCUACUUUUUCGGGGGGAUCCUCUUUUGAAGAGGCCCAAUACUGGCUGGUGGAGACUGAGAGAGCCUUUGAGACCUUGGGAGUAAUUCCUGAGCAGAGGGCUGCCAUUGCCUCCUACAUGCUGGUAGGGGAAGCAGUACGCUGGUGGGAGCUCAAGCGGGCCACCCUGCCUGUACCAGUUACUUGGGAGCAGUUCCUAGCGGCUUUCCAUGCGGAGUAUCUCCCUAAGCACAUCCAACAUUUAAAGGAAAUUGAAUUUGCUCAGUUGGUCCAGGGUAAUAUGACAGUGUCGGAGUAUGCCCGCAAGUUCCUGGAGCUGGGCCGACAUGCCCCGGAGACAUUGUUGGAUGAGGGCCGAAAGGCCAGGAAAUUCCAGUGGGGUCUCCGCCCGGAGAUCAGACAGCACUUGUUGGUGAUGGAGCUCGAGACAUAUUCGGCAGUCCUGGCAAAGGCGCAGAUCAUAGAAAGGAGCUUCGACACCCGCCCUCAGCUAACGGGAAGUUCCCGACCUUCAGCCCCACUCCGCAGGCCAGCGCCUACCAUGCCUGUCUAACCCAGUAAGAGACCCAGGCCUGCCGUUCAGGGCCCUCCUCAAGCUAUGGGGGUAGCUCGUGGGAAGAUCUGCCAGUACUGCGGCAGGGAUCAUGGGGACCGACCCUGCUACCGCCUCAACAACACCUGUCGCAUAUGCGGCAGUGCCCAGCACUAUGCGAGGGAGUGCCCUAGGAACCAGAAUCAAGGGAGGCCUCCAAUCCAGGGCAGAGUUUACAACCUUACCCAGAAGGAUGCCGAUGCAGACCCGGACGUGGUACAUGGUAUGUAUACUAUCUCUGGCCACAUUGCUCAUAUUUUGUUUGAUACUGGUGCAUCACAUUCUUUUAUUUCACAUGUUCUUGCUUCCAAAAUUUGUGUACCACCUGAUAGACUAGAUUCAUUAUUGUUUGUAUCUACCGCUGGGGGGGAGACAUUACUAGGAGAGGUUGUCUACAGGGCAUGUGCCGUGGAGAUAGCAGAUAGAAAAUUGAGGGUAGACCUGAUAGGGUUAGACACAGGGGAUUUUGAUGUAAUCCUAGGAAUGGAUUGGCUGGCGGCGUAUCACGCCACCAUAGACUGCUUUAAUAAAAAGAUUGUAUUUAAUCCUCCCAACGAGGAGCCAUUUACAAGUUAAUAAAAUUAUUCGGUACUGAUUCUCCCUAAUGACAAAUUCUUUUCUUCUUAAUUCCCAGUGCGUUGAUAUUGUAUUUUCCCUAACUAGGUAAACCCAAGAAGGAAGUUUGUAUCCAAGAGAUUCCAGUAGUCCGAGACUUUCCAGACGUAUUUCCGGAUGAACUGCCCGGUCUACCAGGGGACAGAGAUGUCGAGUUCACCAUAGACUUACAGCCAGGAACCCAACCCAUCUCGGUAGCUCCUUACCGAAUGAGCCGCAUCGAGAUGGAAGAGCUAAGGAAACAAAUCACUGAGCUACAAAACAGUGGCUUCAUUAGACACAGCAUUUCCCCAUGGGGUGCCGGGGUUACUUUUGCAAAGAAAGGAGAUGGAACGUUGAGACUGUGUAUUGAUUAUAGAAGGAUAAACAAGGUAACAAUUAAAAACAAGUACCCUCUCCCCCGGAUUGAUGACCUUUUCGAUCAGUUGCAGGGUGCACAGGUCUUUUCUAAAAUAGAUCUACGAUCAGGUUACCAUCAGGUAAAAGUGAGAGCAGAAGACAUCCCCAAGACGGCAUUCCGAACCAGGUACGGACACUAUGAGUUCCUGGUUAUGCCGUUUGGGCUAACCAACGCCCCGGCCAUCUUUAUGGAUCUAAUGAACAGAAUCUUCAGAGAGUUCUUGGAUAAAUUUGUCAUCGUGUUCAUCGAUGAUAUUUUAGUCUACUCAAAAAGUAGAGAAGAACAUGCUCAUCAUCUUGCCCAAGUCCUCCAGGUACUCAGGGAAAAGAAGUUGUAUGCAAAGUUGAGCAAGUGUGGAUUUUGGCUCGAGCAAACCGCCUUCCUAGGACAUGUUAUAUCGAAAGAAGGGGUGUCGGUGAACCCCGAAAAGGUUGAAGCGGUACUUGGUUGGAAAAGGCUGACAACAGUUAAGGAAAUUCGCAGUUUCCUAGGGAUGGCGGGUUAUUACCGCCGGUUUGUCGAAGGGUUCUCCAGUCUAGCGGCCCCUCUAACCCGACUCACAAAGAAGAAUGCAAAGUUUGAUUGGAAUGAGAACUGCGAAAGGAGUUUUUCAGAAUUGAAGAAGUGACUGACUACUGCACCCGUGCUGGCUCUACCGAGUGGAUCAGGAGGGUAUACAGUUUAUAGUGAUGCCUCCUAUCUGGGCCUGGGUUGUGUCCUGAUGCAGCAUGGAAAGGUUAUAGCAUAUGGGUCUAGACAGCUAAAGAAUCAUGAGAAGAACUAUCCUACCCAUGACUUGGAGCUUGCCGCAAUCAUACACGCCUUGAAAAUCUGGCGCCAUUAUUUGUAUGGAGAGACCUUUCAGAUCUACACCGAUCAUAAGAGUUUGAAGCACAUCUUCACUCAGAAGGAUCUCAACAUGCGUCAGAGAAGGUGGAUGGAACUCCUCAAGGACUAUGAUUGUGACAUCCUAUACCAUCCAGGUAAGGGCAACGUAGUAGCUGAUGCCCUCAGUAGGAAGAGUGCAGGCACCCUAGCCCAUCUGAUGGUUUCGGAAUGCAGGUCCAUUGGGGCUACGCAGCAGGUUCGACUGCAAGAUCUGAAGAGGGCCACAUGUUUGAGCCACCUAGCAGUCCAACCCGAGUUAAUCCAAAGAAUAAAGGAAGCCCAGUCAAUCGACCCCGCCCUAGUAAACCGCAAGAAGGAUGCAGAACAGGGAGUGAACUCAGAAUUUCAGAUCUCUACCGACGGAUUGAUUCGUUUCAAGGACAGAAUGUGUGUCCCAGACGACAAUGAAUUAAAAAGAGACAUUAUGACAGAGUCCCAUAGUUCAAGGUUCGCCAUGCAUCCAGGAAGUACAAAAAUGUACCAAACUAUGCGACCCCGAUUCUGGUGGAAUGGGAUGAAGAGAGAUAUAGCCGACUUCGUAUCUAAGUGCUUGGUAUGUCAGCAGGUCAAAGCAGAACAUCAACGCCCAGGGGGGUUGCUUCAGCCUUUACCGAUUCCAGAAUGGAAGUGGGAACACAUCACCAUGGACUUCGUAUCGGGACUACCCAAGGCACGAUCGGGACACGAUGCCAUAUGGGUAAUUGUUGACCGACUCACUAAGUCUUCCCACUUCCUGGCCAUCAGAAUGACUGAUUCGUUGGACAAGUUGGCAAGAAUGUAUGUCCGGGAAAUAGUCAGACUGCAUGGGGUCCCAGUAACAGUGGUAUCCGACAGGGAUCCCAGAUUCACUUCUCGGUUUUGGAAUAGUUUCCAGCAAGCUAUGGGAACAAAGCUGUCCCUCAGUACUGCCUUCCACCCCCAAACCGAUGGACAAUCAGAGAGGACAAUCCGUACGCUGGAGGAUAUGCUCCGAGCUUGUGUCCUUGACUCCGGAGGCCAUUGGGACGACCAUCUACCCCUGAUAGAGUUUGCCUACAACAACAGUUACCAAGCAAGCAUCGGCAUGGCCCCAUACGAGGCGCUAUACGGGCGUCCGUGCAGGUCACCGAUUUGUUGGGAGGAAGUGGGCGAUAGAAGAUUAUUUGGCCCAGAUUUAGUGGAAGAAACCACGUCCAAGAUAGUUAAGAUCAAGAAGAACAUCCAGACAGCUCAGAGUAGGCAAAAGAGCUAUGCUGAUACCCGGAGGAGAGACCUGGCCUUUGAGAAAGGUGACCGUGUGUUUCUUAAAGUCACCCCCUUCAAGGGAAUCAGUAGGUUCGGCAGAAGGGGAAAAUUAAACCCCAGAUACAUUGGACCCUUUGAAAUCUUAGACAAGAUUGGUACCACUGCCUACAGACUUGCACUGCCCCCUGAGCUCUCCCGGGUUCACAAUGUGUUUCAUGUAUCUAUGCUGCGCAAGUACAAUCCGGACCCUUCUCAUGUCGUGGCUCAUGAACCGCUUUCACUCCGAGAGGACUUGUCUUAUGAAGAAGUACCGGUCAGUAUCACGGACCGAGAAAGCAGAAUACUCCGUAACCGGGAAAUAUCAUUUGUAAAGGUCUUGUGGCAGAACCACACGCCUAGGGAGGCGACUUGGGAGCUGGAAUCAGAAUUUAGGGCCCAAUAUCCUCAUCUGUUUGAUCAAGAGUAAUGAGGCAAAUUUGGGGACCAAAUUUCUUUAUGGGGGGGAGAGUUGUAGCACCCGGAAAGGAGGAGGAGAAAAAAAAAAAAAAAAAAAAAAAGGUGCCACGUCAGCAGCCACGUCAGCAGGCCCGGUCAGCAGUCCCGGCCAACCAGGGCCUGCCACGUGGCAAGAUCGCGUCACUCCGAAAGGAGCCACGUUGGCGAUCCGCGUGGGUGCGAUCCGACGGCCCAGAUCAAUCACGCGAUCGGACGGCCCAGAUUCAAACGCACGGACGGCCCAGAUUCAAUCAAAAACGAACGGUCCAGAUUAAAACGAAAUGAACGGCUGUGAUCAAAAGGCAAGGGGUUAUAAAUAGAACCUCCACACCAGACCAAAAACCCUAGCCGCCAGCCGCUCGCCGGAGAAGACGAACCAGAGGUCGACCGCCGCCACCCGCCGCCACUCGCCGCCGCACCGGGGAAAUUUCCGACCGCCGAUCGAGGUAAAUUUCAUACCCCCGACUCGUUUUUCUCCACUGAUUCCUCCUAUGGCCAAAUUGAGGCCGAAAUCCCGGCCAAACGGCCGGAAUACGCGGCCGAAACCCAGCGGCGCCGCCGCGCCCCUCUCGGUUUUUGCCUCCGACGAGGCCCUUCCCGGCCUCCGUUCGAUGCAAUUUUUAUAUCACCGUGAUCACCAUUCUUUUCUCUACAGGUUGACCGGAGCCGAAUCACCAAAACACGAACCUCGCCGGAGAGCCGCUGCACCCGAGAGCGCCGCCGCCGGUAAGCUCUGUUUUUCCGUGAUUUUUUGGCCCCCCGAGGGCCCUAGGGUUGUUUUCUGACAAGGACCAAUGCGAGCGUGGCCGAAUUCGGCCGAAAACAGCCAACCCGAGGCGACUCGCCGCCGCCAGCGGCGGCGCCGUCGCCGGAGCACGGCAGAGCCGCCGUGCCGGAGUUGCGAUUUGGUCCGAAAGGGGCCCUGGGCCUAAUUUGGAUUUUUUUUGGAACACGUGCAGGUACUGUUAGUGUGUUUCAGUUCCCCGGAAAAAAUUCAGGGAAAAUUAGGGACAGCCUGCAGGCGCACUGUGAAUCGUAUUCGGAUCCCGAAAACAAGUAAGGACCCCUCACCCUAUUUCCUAUCACGGUAUUAAAGUUCAAAAUGAUAAAACGGUAUUUCUUGAAUUAACGCAUGUGUGAAAUUACUUAAGGUUGCUAAUGGAGCCCGAGUCUAGUGUGAUUGGUGAUUUACUGUUAUUUGGCCUGUUUACAGCUUUAAAUGCAAAAUGAGGUUUGAUGUGUUCAUUUUACAGAUUUGUGUGCAUAUACUACGUUUUUAUUAAUCAUGGGUUGAAUGACUGAAAAACUGAUACUGUAUGUUGUCUGUUUGGCAUGAAUUACUGUUUGCUUGUUUGUAUGUUAAUUGAUGAUGCUGAUUGAGGAAAAGGAAAAUGAAAGAUUGUGUAGACUGAUAAUUGUAUUAUGGGGGUCAGCCUGACUAGAUAUCCUGGGAGAUGGUGGACGGACCGGGUCCGUAGGGAACCCUACCGGGAUUGUGGUCUCACAUGCCGGACGGGGUAUGGAGAUCUUAUGGUUUUGGCGCCCAUACCGGACGGGGUAUGGGGACGGCCCGUUUCACCCUCAUACCGGACGGGGUAUUGAGGUUUAUGGUUUUGGCGCCCAUACCGGACGGGGUAUGGGGACGGCCCGUUUCACCCUCAUACCGGACGGGGUAUUGAGGUUCAUGGUUUUGGCGCCCAUACCGGACGGGGUAUGGGGACGGUCCUGGAAACUGAUUAUGAAUGUUAAAGGUUAACGGGUAGCGGAACCCCUAUGGACCCCCACGGAUACUAGUAGGCUGGUAAAUGAAAAAAAGAUAUGUUGUACAAUGAUUGAAUUACAAGAGGCGUGAUAAGUGUUAUGUUUUACAGCUUAGAUUAUUCAAUGAUUAUGAUGAUGUUAUUGUUUUUCUCAUAUUGUUUUCAUAAAUUCCACCAAGGUAAGUGGAUGGUAAAGGUUUUCAUGUUAAUAAACGAGUUUGUUGUAAAUUAUGCUCCAUUGGUCUUUUUGUGUUUUUCUACCCACCUUUAUCUCCGUGACGGUGAGAUAUCGUGAUGUUCUUACUGGGCUAGUGUAGCUCACUCCUUAAUUAACCAUUUCAGAUCAGGAAGACAUGGUUCCCGAGCCCGUUCCACAGGAGGACGACGAAGGGGAUGCCUAGAGACUCUGUAGUCAUACGCAUAGUUUAUUUUCGAGUUUUCUUUCUU
rnacentral:lncRNA from 1 species